rnacentral:tRNA from 1 species
GGGGAUGUGGCUCAGUUGGCAGAGCAUUUGCCUCGUAUGCAUUAAGCCUUGGGUUCAAGCCCCAGCCAGAACCA